rnacentral:rRNA from 1 species
GGGCUAGUCAGAAAGGGCUCUAGGUGUCUUUUAGUUGACGCGGCCGCGCAGGGCUAGGGUCUUAGGGGUGCCACUGCGCCUAGGUGGGGGUUGGGUGGAGGUCGGGGGCCGAGGCCGCUGCGGGGAGAGCGGCUGCUGGGACGGCCGGGCUGCGCGGAGAGCGCCGGCGGCGGGGUCGGGGCCGCGCGGAGAGCGCCUGCGGCGGGGUCGGGGCCGCGCGGAGGGCCGCGGCCCGGGGUAGGGGUCGCGUGGAGAAAGGUAAGGGUUUAGCGGAGGGCGGCGGCGGGAGCUAGGGGUGGUGUGGGGGUGGCGGCGUGUAGGCGGCCGGUGAUGUAUGGGACCGAGCCGACGUGUGCUGGCCCUAGGGGGUAGAGGGUCGAUUGGAACGUCGACGUGUGGAGGAGCGAGCAGGAUUCCACGGCCAGCAAGCUAGGUGAGGUGACCACACGUGCGGAGCUGUGUCGGCCGCUCUCGGUGAUGAGGAACGCGACGAGAAAAGAGGUUCAAGCACAUCGAGACUAAAGAAGCACAAGAUAACGUCCAACCCGCAAUACACUUGACGCCUGCCUAGUCACCAACCUGGUCGUCGUCAAAUGACAUGGUUGCGCCAACUAGGGUGGACCGUGUGCAAGCGGAGACAGCUGCCGCCAGUCGUGGAUCGAAGACAACGAAGGUGCCGUUGACGAGUACGCGUGGAGCUUGCGUAUUGCUCAACAGGGGACCAAGAAGAAGACGAGUACCUCAACCUCGCACGACGUUGAAGGAAAGUAAAGACUUUGAGUAUAGGGAGGUUAAAUCAGGUGCAUAAUAAGAACAUCCAUCUAAACUUGUUAGAUUUUGACCUUUUUCUUACGCAGUCAUAUCGAUGAGUAAUCUUUUACCAGUUCACAUACAACGAAAACACCAAAAACACACACGAGCAUAAACGUAUUAAAUGGAGUUUACUUUUAAGUCAAUGAACACAUGGAUACAGCUGUUGUACUGUUUAAAAGAGUGGUGGUAGAUCAAAACGAUUUUACUCAAACAAACAGAAUGGAAUAUAUAUACACUUCUUUUAACUGCCGUCGUUUAAAGAGGACUUUUAUUCAAGUUUAUUUUUGUACCCUCUUCCAGUGUAUACACAUGGUCCUUUUACAAACGCGUUUUUACGUCUUCUGAAAUGAUAGGUACUCAAACACAUGUACGAGGAAAAAACACCGACGACGUCCGACGUUCUGGACAGCAGCAGUAGGGGUGAAUCGGGUACAGUACUUCGAAGCGAGGGGAUGAUGACGAUGUGCAUUCACGAGCAGACGUUAAACCGUGCUUCAACUUGUUGAAAUCGAUCUCAAGUCUAUUGACUUACCGUCUCCAACGAGAUCUUGAUGUCAUCAUAUGAAGUCUCAAGUCUCACGUCUAUUAGUUUACAAGUAUGUCAGUUUAGACAACCGGAGCACUAAUAUACUUCUAUAAGUCUUAGUCUUCAAGUUUUCUUCUCAAGGUAUUUUCAGUUUUAGUUCUUUCUCGUGAUACUUCAUAUUAAUGAUUAUUCUGAUCACACAGACCACGCACGAAGGCCUGGCACUACAUAGGACACACACACGAGCACGCAAACGUACACACAACACUCGAGUGUACACACGUGAGUCCAAAAAAAAAAGAAAACAACUCGUAAGCACACACGAGAACACACACACACACAACGUAUCCAGGAGGUCAUACACACACACCA